rnacentral:rRNA from 1 species
AGUGAACGCUGGCGGUAGGCCUAACACAUGCAAGUCGAACGGCAGCACAGUAAGAGCUUGCUCUUACGGGUGGCGAGUGGCGGACGGGUGAGGAAUACAUCGGAAUCUACUUUUUCGUGGGGGAUAACGUAGGGAAACUUACGCUAAUACCGCAUACGACCUACGGGUGAAAGCAUGGGAUCUUCGGACCUUGCGCGAUUGAAUGAGCCGAUGUCGGAUUAGCUAGUUGGCGGGGUAAAGGCCCACCAAGGCGACGAUCCGUAGCUGGUCUGAGAGGAUGAUCAGUCACACUGGAACUGAGACACGGUCCAGACUCCUACGGGAGGCAGCAGUGGGGAAUAUUGGACAAUGGGCGCAAGCCUGAUCCAGCCAUACCGCGUGUGUGAAGAAGGCCUUCGGGUUGUAAAGCCCUUUUGUUGGGAAAGAAAAGCAGCAGGUUAAUACCCCGCUGUUCUGACGGUACCCAAAGAAUAAGCACCGGCUAACUUCGUG